CAUCCACCAAGGGCUUUCGUCGGCCCGCAGUGAACAUGAUCGUAGGCGGGCGAAACCCCGCCAGAAGCUGACGUGAAAGUGUGCUGGACGCGGGUUCGAUUUCCGCCACCUCCACCAUGCGGGGGUGUACUGGUUUCGACAGUGCCCGGAAGCCGAUGCCGACGAUCCGACAGGCGUUCGCCGUAAGCGAAGCAAAACCCAGAACUGCCAAUGAAAGCACGUUCCUGAAAGCGGCCUAAAACCGCCUUCGGAGCCGCCCUGCGCUCGGCAACAGAAGCAGGGCACCCAUUCA
rnacentral:tmRNA from 1 species